GGGGUUGUGGCUCAGUGGUAGAACGCUUGCCUAGCACGUAUGAGGAAUGGAGUUCGAUCCUCAGCACCA
rnacentral:tRNA from 1 species